UACGAAGGGGGCGAGCGUUGUUCGGAUUUACUGGGCGUAAAGCGCACGUAGGCGGAUUGUUAAGUCGGGGGUGAAAUCCUGGAGCUCAACUCCAGAACUGCCUUCGAUACUGGCGAUCUCGAGUUCGGGAGAGGUGAGUGGAACUGCGAGUGUAGAGGUGAAAUUCGUAGAUAUUCGCAAGAACACCAGUGGCGAAGGCGGCUCACUGGCCCGAUACUGACGCUGAGGUGCGAAAGCGUGGGGAGCAAACAGG
rnacentral:rRNA from 1 species